AAGACAUGCAGUCGAGCGCUCAUUCGGUUGCAGCAAUGUAGCCGAGUGGGAGCGGCGCAAGGGUGCGUAACACGUGGGUAAUUUGCCAAAAAGUUUGGGAUAACUCGCUGAAAGGCGAGCUAAUACCGGAUGUGAUCAUCGGGCGGCAUCGUUUGAUGAUUAAGUUGGGGACCGUAAGGCCUGACGCUUUUUGAUAAGCCCGCGGCCUAUCAGCUAGUUGGUGAGGUAACGGCUCACCAAGGCUAAGACGGGUAGCUGGUCCGAGAGGACGACCAGCCACACUGGAACUGAGGCACGGUCCAGACACCUACGGGUGGCAGCAGUCGAGAAUUUUUCACAAUGGGCGAAAGCCUGAUGGAGCGACGCCGCGUGGGGGAUGAAUGGCUUCGGCCCGUAAACCCCUGUCAUUUGCGAACAAACCUUGCUAUUUAAAAGAUGGCGAGCUGAUUGUAGCGAAAGAGGAAGGGACGGCUAACUCUGUGCCAGCAGCCGCGGUAAUACAGAGGUCCCAAGCGUUGUUCGGAUUCACUGGGCGUAAAGGGUGCGUAGGUGGUGAGGUAAGUCGGAUGUGAAAGCUCCGAGCUCAACUCGGAAAUGGCAUUGGAAACUACCUUGCUCGAGGGUUUGAGGGGGGACUGGAAUACUUGGUGUAGCAGUGAAAUGCGUAGAUAUCAAGUAGAACACCAGUGGCGAAGGCGAGUCCCUGGAAAACUCCUGACACUGAGGCACGAAAGCUAGGGGAGCAAACAGGAUUAGAUACCCUGGUAGUCCUAGCCGUAAACGGUGCGUAUUUGCUGUAAAAGGAAUCGACCCCUUUUGUGGCGUAGCCAACGCGUUAAAUACGCCGCCUGGGAAGUACGGUCGCAAGAUUA
rnacentral:rRNA from 1 species